CUCGGACAUUUUGGACUCGGAAAUGUUUCCGAUUACAGUCGAGUC
rnacentral:pre_miRNA from 1 species